GCACAGAAAGUCAGUCAGCUUCUGGCCUGCAUAGGCAUGCUGCCACAGCAUGCUACGUCGGUAGGCUUAUCUGAUGACAUGACCAGCUAUGUACGUAGUCAGACAGUCUCGCUACUCUCCGCAGGAGGUCAUCGUACGCCGGUUCUCGUAGUACUCAGCGUGAAAGGUCUCGGUGCUGUAAAUAAGCCACAUAUCCCCGAGUUUUACCGCCGCGUCUCAAUCCAUACAGCUAGACCAGUGUGCGUAGACCACCCAGGGAGUGCCCUGUAAUGCUUAGAAUCGCCAAGGAAUGAAGUAGAAACUCCGCCCGCAACAAAGGGACCCCCGGUUUCCGUCUUGAGAUUUUUUUUUUUUUCUCAGGACGAACGCUGGCGGCGUGCUUAACACAUGCAAGUCGAACGAUGAACCACUUCGGUGGGGAUUAGUGGCGAACGGGUGAGUAACACGUGGGCAAUCUGCCCUGCACUCUGGGACAAGCCCUGGAAACGGGGUCUAAUACCGGAUAUGACCCUCGCAGGCAUCUGUGAGGGUGUAAAGCUCCGGCGGUGCAGGAUGAGCCCGCGGCCUAUCAGCUUGUUGGUGAGGUAACGGCUCACCAAGGCGACGACGGGUAGCCGGCCUGAGAGGGCGACCGGCCACACUGGGACUGAGACACGGCCCAGACUCCUACGGGAGGCAGCAGUGGGGAAUAUUGCACAAUGGGCGAAAGCCUGAUGCAGCGACGCCGCGUGAGGGAUGACGGCCUUCGGGUUGUAAACCUCUUUCAGCAGGGAAGAAGCGAAAGUGACGGUACCUGCAGAAGAAGCGCCGGCUAACUACGUGCCAGCAGCCGCGGUAAUACGUAGGGCGCAAGCGUUGUCCGGAAUUAUUGGGCGUAAAGAGCUCGUAGGCGGCUUGUCGCGUCGGUUGUGAAAGCCCGGGGCUUAACCCCGGGUCUGCAGUCGAUACGGGCAGGCUAGAGUUCGGUAGGGGAGAUCGGAAUUCCUGGUGUAGCGGUGAAAUGCGCAGAUAUCAGGAGGAACACCGGUGGCGAAGGCGGAUCUCUGGGCCGAUACUGACGCUGAGGAGCGAAAGACUAAACCU
rnacentral:rRNA from 1 species